UCGAGGAAAUGGUGUAACCAAGACGGACUCUCUUGUUGGUAAUAAUAAGUGUUUGUUUGUGAUUUGUUUUAUGAACUGUUGUUUUAUCUGAAUUGUUGGUUCGUUACGCAGAGACAUCUUCUAGGUACAGGGAGAUAUCUUCAAGAAACUUCUAUAUGAUAAUGUUGUUAAAUGAAGCAUGAACAAAGUCUGUUGAUUAAUUUCAGUGCUCUUCCUACCUUGAAAUAUCUGCCGUUUUAACUUUUAUUUUAGAGGUGAUAAGUCACGAUUGAGAUGGUAUGUGCAUGUGGUAAGAAUGGAUGACGAGGAGGGAGUGAAGAGGGCUUGGGAAGAACCUGUUAGAGGAAGAAGAUCGAAAGGGAAGACAGAAUUAGGUGGCGGGAUAAAGUGAAGGAAGAUAUGGAGAGAAGUUUGUUUGAGAUGCAUUUGAUAGCAGGCAGUGAGAAGGCUCAUCAGGCAACAGACCCUUUAGGGAUAACGGUAGGAAAGAUGAUGAUCCGAAUGAUUGCUACUACCGAUCUAAUAAUUUUUCAAAGCAAUUUUAGCCUUCGCUAAGGCAAGAAGAAUGAAUCCCACGUCGUUGCGCUUUUGUUAAAAAGCGGUGUUGUGAGGUGGUGUCAUGCUGGGGGUUGUAAAGUCUGUAUUCAUCAAAUGUUGAUAGCCACACAGUUGUAGCUAGACUGAAGAAAAGAUGUGCCAUUAGCUUUUAGAUUACACCUAGGCUUAUCGUAUUGUCAGUUGAUAUUAAUGAUCUUGGUUUUAUUAAGAAUAAUAAACUUGCAGUGACGCUGGUUUAGUGGGCGGAGGUUUUUCCCAAUUGUAUAUUGUUGACGACCUCCAUACUACCAAAAUGCUUAUAAUGCUGCCAAUUCUUUAUUUUUGAGCGAGGUUAAAUCUCAACUACUCUCAACAGGGUUCACGGGUUACGCGAAGAGUAAAAUCCCUUGCUGGCAUAAGGCCACAACUACAAAAAGAAAGACCUGACAAGCCUAAGUGAACUUAUACAUAAAUCACCAACCUGAAACUACGCAAUGUUAUGUCGGUAAGCCAUCUGGGAUGGCUACAAGCCCAAUUGCAGCAGAAGUGAUAAAUGUAUUAAAAGUUGUGCUUUUUCAGACUUAAAUAAAUCCUUUGUUUUUUUC